UUGAAGGUGGAAAUGGCCAUAAUGAGAUUAAGGAGGUACUUGUUAUUCAUACCUAUUGCCCACGAAUAAUCGUGAUAGUAAUUUUGAUUUAAUUGAUUUUAGGCCUUAGACCGCAUUAAAGAAAAAAUCCACCAACACGUGCAAAAUGGCAAAAACAAAAUAUCAAAUGCCCUUAACGAUCUUAAAGAGAAGGUGAACGAUUACCAGCAGAAAAUUCACGAUCAAUUCGAAGAAAAGAAGCAAAAAAUUCACGAUCACUUAGAAGCAAAGAAGGAGAAAAUUGUCGACAUUUACAAUAAGAUCAAACAGAGCAUCCAUGCUGCAAUUGAAGCUGCUGAUCAUCAAUGGCAUAACGACGCGAAUAAAAUACACGAGGUAACUACAUAAAAUUAAUUAUCCACAAUAUUAUACCACUAAUAAUAUUUUCGUUAAUAGUCAGCGACUGGAGUAAUACAAGCUGGACACCAUGCUAUAAAUGAGCACGGAAAGUACAUCAUUGAAAACGUUUGUUCAACCAUAAAGGAUGCUGCGGCACAGUUAGAGAUUGCUUUCGAAAAUGCCAAACAUGCACUGCAGCAACAUAAGCCUGGCCACCAUCAGAAUGAAGCAGCUUUUUACGCUGACAUACAUAAUGCCCUAGCCUCUGUGGUAGAAC